CGCAAAAAAAAAAAACAAAAAAAAAAAAAAAAAAAAAAAAAAAAAAAAAAAAAAAAAAAAAAAAAAAAAAAAUCACUACAAAGCGCAAAAAAAAAAAAAAAAAAAAAAAAAAAAAAAAAAAAAAAAAAAAAAAAAAAAAAAAAAAAAAAAAAGUU